rnacentral:tRNA from 1 species
AGAGAGUUGGCUGAGUGGUUUAAAGCGAUUAGCUUGAAACUAAUUAAAAUUAAAAGUUUUCAGGGGUUCAAAUCCCCUACUCUCUG